rnacentral:misc_RNA from 1 species
GAUUGCAUAGUGAGCUCAAUUGGAG